rnacentral:lncRNA from 10 species
GUCCCAGCUAAUUGGGAGGCUGAGGCAGGAGAAUCGCUUGAACCUGGGAGGCAGAGGUUGCAGCGAGCUGAGAUCACGCCACGGAGCGAGACUCCAUCUCAAAAACAAAACAAAACAGAAAACCUAUUAGUGAUCAAUUUCAAAUUAAUAGAUACAUAAAAUUCUAAAUGUAAUUAUUUUUUAAAAAACCCAGUAAGAUAGA